AGAACGAACGCUGGCGGCAUGCCUAAUACAUGCAAGUCGAACGAACACUUCGGUGUUAGUGGCGCACGGGUGCGUAACGCGUGGGAAUCUGCCCUUGGGUUCGGAAUAACGGUUGGAAACGACUGCUAAUACCGGAUGAUGACGAAAGUCCAAAGAUUUAUCGCCCAGGGAUGAGCCCGCGUAGGAUUAGCUAGUUGGUGAGGUAAAGGCUCACCAAGGCGACGAUCCUUAGCUGGUCUGAGAGGAUGAUCAGCCACACUGGGACUGAGACACGGCCCAGACUCCUACGGGAGCAGCAGUAGGGAAUAUGGACAAUGGGCAAAGCCUGAUCCAGCAAUGCCGCGUGAGUGAUGAAGGCCUUAGGUGUAAAGCUCUUUACCGAGAUGAUAAUGACAGUAUCGGAGAAUAAGCCCGGCUAACUCCGUGCCAGCAGCCGC
rnacentral:rRNA from 1 species